rnacentral:rRNA from 1 species
UACGGGGGGGGCAAGCGUUGUUCGGAAUUACUGGGCGUAAAGAGCUCGUAGGUGGUUUGUCGCGUUGUUCGUGAAAACUCACAGCUUAACUGUGGGCGUGCGGGCGAUACGGGCAGACUGGAGUACUGCAGGGGAGACUGGAAUUCCUGGUGUAGCGGUGGAAUGCGCAGAUAUCAGGAGGAAUACCGGUGGUGAAGGCGGCUUUCUGGACUGCUGCUGACGCUGAUACACGAAAGCGUGGGGAGCAAACAGG